rnacentral:rRNA from 1 species
GACGAACGCUGGCGGCGUGCUUAACACAUGCAAGUCGAACGGAAAGGCCCUGCUUUUGUGGGGUGCUCGAGUGGCGAACGGGUGAGUAACACGUGAGUAACCUGCCCUUGACUUUGGGAUAACUUCAGGAAACUGGGGCUAAUACCGGAUAGGAGCUCCUGCUGCAUGGUGGGGGUUGGAAAGUUUCGGCGGUUGGGGAUGGACUCGCGGCUUAUCAGCUUGUUGGUGGGGUAGUGGCUUACCAAGGCUUUGACGGGUAGCCGGCCUGAGAGGGUGACCGGCCACAUUGGGACUGAGAUACGGCCCAGACUCCUACGGGAGGCAGCAGUGGGGAAUAUUGCACAAUGGGCGGAAGCCUGAUGCAGCAACGCCGCGUGCGGGAUGACGGCUUUCGGGUUGUAAACCGCUUUCGCCUGUGACGAAGCGUGAGUGACGGUAAUGGGUAAAGAAGCACCGGCUAACUACGUGCCAGCAGCCGCGGUGAUACGUAGGGUGCGAGCGUUGUCCGGAUUUAUUGGGCGUAAAGGGCUCGUAGGUGGUUGAUCGCGUCGGAAGUGUAAUCUUGGGGCUUAACCCUGAGCGUGCUUUCGAUACGGGUUGACUUGAGGAAGGUAGGGGAGAAUGGAAUUCCUGGUGGAGCGGUGGAAUGCGCAGAUAUCAGGAGGAACACCAGUGGCGAAGGCGGUUCUCUGGGCCUUUCCUGACGCUGAGGAGCGAAAGCGUGGGGAGCGAACAGGCUUAGAUACCCUGGUAGUCCACGCUGUAAACGGUGGGUACUAGGUGUGGGGUCCAUUCCACGGGUUCCGUGCCGUAGCUAACGCUUUAAGUACCCCGCCUGGGGAGUACGGCCGCAAGGCUAAAACUCAAAGGAAUUGACGGGGCCCCGCACAAGCGGCGGAGCAUGCGGAUUAAUUCGAUGCAACGCGUAGAACCUUACCUGGGUUUGACAUGGAUCGGGAGUGCUCAGAGAUGGGUGUGCCUCUUUUGGGGUCGGUUCACAGGUGGUGCAUGGCUGUCGUCAGCUCGUGUCGUGAGAUGUUGGGUUAAGUCCCGCAACGAGCGCAACCCUUGUUCACUGUUGCCAGCACGUUAUGGUGGGGACUCAGUGGAGACCGCCGGGGUCAACUCGGAGGAAGGUGGGGAUGACGUCAAGUCAUCAUGCCCCUUAUGUCCAGGGCUUCACGCAUGCUACAAUGGCUGGUACAGAGAGUGGCGAGCCUGUGAGGGUGAGCGAAUCUCGGAAAGCCGGUCUCAGUUCGGAUUGGGGUCUGCAACUCGACCUCAUGAAGUCGGAGUCGCUAGUAAUCGCAGAUCAGCAACGCUGCGGUGAAUACGUCCCCGGGGCU